rnacentral:rRNA from 1 species
CCUACGGGUGGCAGCAGUGAGGAAUAUUGGUCAAUGGCCGAGAGGCUGAACCAGCGAAGUCGCGUGAGGGAAGAAUGUCCUAUGGAUUGUAAACCUCUUUUCUCAGGGAGCAAAGUCACCCACGUGUGGGUGUUGUAGAGUAUCUGAAGAAACAGCAUCGGCUAACCCCGGUCCAGAACCCGCGGUAAUACGGGGGAUGCGAUAGUUAUCCGGAUGAGUUGGGUUAAAGGGGUGCGUAGGCGGGUUACAAAGCUAGAGGUAAAAUCGUGGAGUUCAACUCCAUACAGCUGUGGAAACUGGUGAUCUGGAGUGGGCGAGAGGGAUGUGGAAUGCGUGGUGUAGCGGUAAAAUGCAUAGAUAUAAGGCAGAACUCCGGUGGCGAAGGCAGCAUACCGGCGCGCGGCUGACGCUGAAGCACGAAAGCGUGGGUAUCGAACAGGAUUAGAUACCCCAGUAGUC